rnacentral:lncRNA from 1 species
UCUGGAUCGUUCAAGGUACUCCAAAGAGCAUUACUAUACUCAUAAUUCCCCAUAGUCUCGUUCUAUACUUGAAUUUAGUUGAGGAAACAUGCGUGUAGAUAUCUUCAAUGCUUUUGCAUCUGAAGAAGCUGUGAUUGGGUGUCUUCAAGCUCAAGGACUCCUUCCAUCAUUGGUGAUUUGUUCGUGCGGCAAGAAUUGUAAGAAAGUAUUGCGUGCAGGCAUCUCCUGGUAUAGGCGUUCUCGGGCAUCUAGUAGGGAAAUAUAUCCAAUUAAAAAAAACUAUUUUUCAAAACAGUCACAUUUCUUUUAAACAUUAUAUUAUGAUCAUUUAUCAUUGGUCAAAAUUAUUAACGGUUUCUACUACAACAUACCAAACUGGGGUUUCUAAACUUAUAGUUGUAGAUUGGUAUACUUUACUUUAUAAGUUUCUAUGUUACAGCAUAUUUAAUAUCUAGUUGAGUCAAGGGGGAAAAAAAAGGAAAAGAAGAAUAAUUAGAAAGAUAAAGUGGUGAUGGUAGAUUUCAUUAAAUGUGCUCCAGUUUCUCCUUUUAUUUCAAUAUCUUAUUAUUUUAUUUUUUUUCGAAGAUGUAAUUUAGUGAAUUUUCUUUUCUCACGUGUAUUUAAUAUAAGUUCUCUCUUUUUCAAUUUCUACAAUAAUUAGUCUUUUGUGUUAUGAAAAUUGUCAUUUUUCUAAUUGUUUUCCCAAUAAGUAUCACAAGUCGUCGGAUUACCUAAAAGUUUCUAGAAAAGGAAGUUCCUCAAGGUUAUAGUACUAAUGAACCAAAAAGCAGUGACAAAAAAUUUCAAAAGAUUCCUACAGAUAUGGAAAGAUCUGUAAUAGAUGAAGAGUAUAACGGGAAAUUUUCAAAAACUAAAAUAGUCAAAACAAGGUUUAUCUAAAGUGAUGUGGAAAAACAAGAAGGAAAUCACUCUUCAGGGAAGGAUGAUAAAAUCUUAGAAGAGAAGUUGGUUGAAACUGAAAAACAGGCAAAUAAUCAUGGAUCUCAGGAAAAUAAGAGGAAAAUAUGGAUUUUGGAAAAUGUUGAUGCAUUAAAUGAUGUACCUAAUACAGAAAGAAGUCAAAGAUUGGUACUUUCACUAUCAGUCAAUCAUAAAACAGAAUAUUUUUGGAAGCCAACGCAGCAACAGAAAUCAUAUGACAUGAAUCCUGAAAAAAUAUCUUGUGUAUGUAAAAUAUAGUAUUAAAAGUAAUAAAGCACCGGGACCUGAGGGGUUAGGUGGUAAAAUUUCUAC